CCCCAUGUGUGGAAAUCCUCCAUAACGCUGAACUUUAUUCAACUAUGUGAUAAAAUGUGACGUUAGAAUGUGUUAUUACAAUUACCUGAAAAUUACAAUUACCUGAAAAUUACAGUUACCUGAAAAUUACAGUUACCUGAAAAUUACAGUUACCUGAAAAUUACAGUUACCUGAAAAUUACAGUUUCUUGUAAACAGAGAAUUGGGUGCCAUUUGGGACACACUUCUUCUCAUUUCUCCUGAAUGUCUUUUUUUUCAGGACCUCUGUUUUGGUCAGAGCGACUGAUCUGGAAUGAGUCCAAAUCGUUUCUUCUUGUUUCAGGAUGUUUCGUAUCCACUUUAUUCUCUUUAGGGGCACUGGGCUGUUACAGGGAUGUCUUGUGUGUAAUGCUAAGUCAUGCAGGCUGGUCAAUCUUUCAGAUGAUGCUGCAGUGAAGACCUUAAAGAUGGAAUCUGCAGUUGGGGGGAAACGACGUCACUGGCCACCCCACCACCAUUGUUAUUGUUUUUUUUGUUGCAGACCUCAGACCGUCUGUGAUCAGGAUUAUCUCUCUCUCUCACACACACACAGUACCAAUUAUCUGACACACAGACAGUACAAAUUAUCUCUCACACACACCGUACAAAUUAUCUCUCACACACACAGUACAAAUUAUCUCUCACACACACAGUACAAAUUAUCUCUCACACACACAGUACAAAUUAUCUCUCACACAUGCAGUACAAAGUCUCUCGCUCACGCAGUACAGUAUCUAUUUUUCUCUCUCUUUCUCUCUCUCACGCAGUACUGCAGACCUCAUGGGUUGGUCUCUCAAAUGAUGGUCUCUCUCACACAGUGCUGUUAGUCCUCUGGGUUGGUCUCGUGACAGACCAUAAAUGCUAAUUAAGUAGCCAGCAUGCAAGAGAUUUGGUUGCUGUUCUGAUUGCUCGUUUGGUGUCCCACAGUGCUGUAGACCUCUGGGUUAGUCUGUCAGACAGUCUUUCAGAUGGUCUAUCUCACACGGCGCUGCAGACUGUUGGGCUGGUCUCUUAGAUGAAUCCCUCUCUCACACAGUGCUGCAGACUGUUGGGCUGGUCUCUUAGAUGAAUCCCUCUCUCACACAGUGCUGUAGACUGUUGGGCUGGUCUCUUAGAUGAAUCCCUCUCUCACACAGUGCUGCAGACUGUUGGGCUGGUCUCUUAGAUGAAUCCCUCUCACACAGGGCUGUAGUCUUGGUCGGUUGAUCUCUCAAAUAGUGCUGAAAACUUCUAAGUUGGUCUCACAGUCUCCCUCUCUCAUACGGUGCUGCAGGGCCCCUCACUGUCCUCCUCACUCUCAUCCCACACUGCAACACCCCCCAUGGCUCCUGCCUUGACGUGGCCAACUCUCGGCUGGGUUUCGAACCUAGGAGACGAGGGAUGAGACGGGGAAUGAGACCCUUCUUUUAACCUGUUAUUAUAAUGUUAAAAAGAACCCGUAUUCCUUACCUUAGCUUUUUGAAGUUAGGAAAUGUCUGCCUCUCAGUGGCUUGAACCGGUCUGAAGCCUUGUGGUGUAUUUUCCUUAACGGGUGCUGCAUCUUCCUAGUUCACACAGUGUAAAGGGAACAGGAUUAGAUGUGUCUCCAGUUCACACAGUGUAAAGGGAACAGGAUUAGAUGUGUCUCCAGUUCACACAGUGUAAAGGGAACAGGAUUAGAUGUGUCUCCAGUUCACACAGUGUAAAGGGAACAGGAUUAGAUGUGUCUCCAGUUCACACAGUGUAAAGGGAACAGGAUUAGAUGUGUCUCCAGUUCACACAGUGUAAAGGGAACAGGAUUAGAUUUCUCCAGUUCAUACAGUGUAAAGGGAACAGGAUUAGAUUUCUCCAGUUCAUACAGUGUAAAGGGAACGGGAUUAGAUUUCUCUCCAGUUCACACUGUGAUAAGGGAACAGGAUUAGAUUUCUCUCCAGUUCACACUGUGAUAAGGGAACAGGAUUAGAUGUCUCUCCAGUUCACACAGUGGUACGGAAAAUAAGAUUAGAUGUCUCCCUUGUUCAUGCCGUGAUAAUAGAACAGGAUUAGAUAUCUACCUAGUUCACACCGUGAUAAGGGAAUAAGAUUAGAUGUAGAUACUGUAGAGAACAUUGUAGCAGAGAUCAUAUCUGUCCUGGCCAGAUCCUAGCCUGGUCCCUAUUCUUUUUGCAAUGACAAGACAAGUAUUUACCCUUUGCCUUGAUGACAGCUUUACACAUUAUUGGAAUUCUCUCAACUUGCUUCACCUGGAAUGCUUUUCCAACCGUCUUGAAGGAGUUCCCACAUAUACUGAGCACUUGUUGGCUGCUGUUCCUUCACACUGCAGUCCAACUCAUCCCAAACCAUCUCAGUUGGGUUGAUGUCGGGUGAUUGUGGAGGCCAGGUCAUCUGAUGCAGCACUCCAUCAAUCACUCUCUUUGGUCAAAUAGCCCUUACCCACCCUGGAGGUGUGUUGGGUCAUUGUCCUGUUGACAAAACAAAUGAUAGUCCCACUAAGCACAAACCAGAUGGGAUGGCAUAUCGCUGCAGAAUGCUGUGGUAGCCAUGCUGGUUAAGUGUGCCUUGAAUUCUAAAUAAAUCAUAGACAGAGUCACCAUCAAAGCACCCCCACACCAACACACCUCCUCCUCCAUGCUUCACGGUGGGAACCACACAGGCAGAGGUCAUCCAUUCACCUACUCUGCGUCUCACAAAGACACCACGGCUGGAACCAAAAAUCUCAAAUUUGGACUCAUCAGACCAAAGGAUAGAUUUCCACUGGUCUAAUGUCAAUGGCUCAUAUUUCUUGGCCCAAGCAAGUCUCUUCUUCUUAUUGGUGUCCUUUAGAAGUGGUUUCUUUGCAGCAACUCAACCAUGAAGGCCUGAUUCACGCAGUCUCCUCUGAACAGUUGAUGUUGAGAUGUGUCUGUUACUUGAACUCUGUGAAGCAUUUAUUUGGGCUGCAAUCUGAGGUGCAUUUACCUCUAAUUAACAUAUCCUCUACAGCAGAGGUAACUCUGGGUCUUCCUUUCCUGUGGCGGUCCUCAUGAGAGACAGGUAACUCUAAUGAGAGACAGGUAACUCUAAUGAGAGACAGGUAACUCUAAUGAGAGACAGGUAAC
ensembl:lncRNA